UACGGGGGGGGCAAGCGUUGUUCGGAAUUACUGGGCGUAAAGGGCUCGUAGGUGGCCAACUAAGUCAGACGUGAAAUCCCCAGGCUCAACUUGGGAACUGCGUCUGAUACUGGAUGGCUUGAAUUCGGGAGAGGGAUGCAGAAUUCCAGGUGUAGCGGUGAAAUGCGUAGAUAUCUGGAGGAACACCCGUGGCUAAGGCGGCUCUCUAGUACGGUACUGACGCUGAGACGCGAAAGCGUGGGGAGCGAACAGG
rnacentral:rRNA from 1 species